rnacentral:rRNA from 1 species
AUUGAACGCUGGCGGCAUGCUUUACACAUGCAAGUCGAACGGUAACAGGCCGCAAGGUGCUGACGAGUGGCGAACGGGUGAGUAAUGCAUCGGAACGUGCCCAGUCGUGGGGGAUAACUACUCGAAAGAGUAGCUAAUACCGCAUACGAUCUAUGGAUGAAAGCGGGGGACCGUAAGGCCUCGCGCGAUUGGAGCGGCCGAUGUCAGAUUAGGUAGUUGGUGGGGUAAAGGCUCACCAAGCCAACGAUCUGUAGCUGGUCUGAGAGGACGACAAGCCACACUGGGACUGAGACACGGCCCAGACCCCUACGGGAGGCAGCAGUGGGGAAUUUUGGACAAUGGGCGCAAGCCUGAUCCAGCAAUGCCGCGUGCAGGAAGAAGGCCUUCGGGUUGUAAACUGCUUUUGUACGGAACGAAACGGCUCUGGUUAAUACCCGGGGCUAAUGACGGUACCGUAAGAAUAAGCACCGGCUAACUACGUG